GCUGGCGGCAGGCCUAACACAUGCAAGUCGAGCGGUUGACGGGAGCUUGCUCCCUGAUUCAGCGGCGGACGGGUGAGUAAUGCCUAGGAAUCUGCCUAUUAGUGGGGGACAACGUUUCGAAAGGAACGCUAAUACCGCAUACGYUCUACGGGAGAAAGCAGGGGACUUCGGGCCUUGCGCUAAUAGAUGAGCCUAGGUCGGAUUAGCUAGUUGGUGAGGUAAUGGCUCACCAAGGCGACGAUCCGUAACUGGUCUGAGAGGAUGAUCAGUCACACUGGAACUGAGACACGGUCCAGACCUCUACGGGAGGCAGCAGUGGGGAAUAUUGGACAAUGGGCGAAAGCCUGAUCCAGCCAUGCCGCGUGUGUGAAGAAGGUCUUMGGAUUGUAAAGCACUUUAAGUUGGGAGGAAGGGUUGUAGAUUAAUACUCUGCAAUUUUGACGUUACCGACAGAAUAAGCACCGGCUAACUCUGUGCCAGCAGCCGCGGUAAUACAGAGGGUGCAAGCGUUAAUCGGAAUUACUGGGCGUAAAGCGCGCGUAGGUGGUUUGUUAAGUUGGAUGUGAAAGCCCCGGGCUCAACCUGGGAACUGCAUCMAAAACUGGCAAGCUAGAGUACGGUAGAGGGUGGUGGAAUUUCCUGUGUAGCGGUGAAAUGCGUAGAUAUAGGAAGGAACACCAGUGGCGAAGGCGACCACCUGGACUGAUACUGACACUGAGGUGCGAAAGCGUGGGGAGCAAACAGGAUUAGAUACCCUGGUAGUCCACGCCGUAAACGAUGUCAACUAGCCGUUGGAAUCCUUGAGAUUUUAGUGGCGACACKAACGCAUUAAGUUGACCGCCUGGGAGU
rnacentral:rRNA from 1 species